AUCCAAUAUGUCAUUAGCACACACCACUCAAUGCCCUGGCCUUGAGCAAGCCUCAGCAGAGCUGAAGAGAGAGAAAGAAUUUCUAGGAGGGAGGGCCACCUACCAACAGAGUGUGAAGGACUUUGCACCAAGACGCAAGGAUCCAAGAGACUGCCUGUGCUUUCUGGCAUUUGAAGGUUCGCAUUUUAAUGGCAAUCCUUGAAAACCUAAAAGCCUUAGAAACUAGAAGAAAUCAAUGUUUAAUGAUGGAACUUGAAACAUUAUGACAAAGGAGAAGGAGCUGAAAGGAAUUUUUAGACAUCACUGAGUGCAACCAAUUCAUCUUCUGCAUGAGCAAACAUAGAAGGAGAGAGAGAAAUGACAGGUGUCACACUACAGCCCCAGAUUUCCUAACACAAACUCCAGGAAAAGAAUCAUAUUGACUCACCUAGUAAUCUACCAAGCCCUGUCAGAGGCUAUGGACCUUCCUAUUCCACUUUUCAACGCCUGUCAAAGAUGACAAAGAUGACAAACAAGUGAUGAGGACACUGAGGCACAAUUAAAGAAUAACUUGUCAAAGAUCACAGUGUUAUUAGCAGUGAGAAAGAAUGCAGAUAAAAUCUUCCAACUCUGCAUCCCCCAUGUGCCCCACACCUUGCCCCGGGGUUACUGAAGACAGAG